AACGCACAUUGCGCCUCCCAUAACAAGGGGGCAUGCCUGUCUGAGCGUCAUUAAAAUCUAUGAACCCCUGUGGUUUCGUGUUGGGCGUCGCCCCGUUGGGCGUGGCCUCAAAGGGAUCGGUCUCGUGAGUGGGUGAGAUCCAUUAGGACCGGCCGCUCUGGACCCUAAGCCUCUGGAUUGACCUCAGAUCAGGUAGGGACACCGCCUGAACUUAA
rnacentral:misc_RNA from 1 species